UACGUAGGGGGCGAGCGUUAUCCGGAAUUACUGGGUGUAAAGGGAGCGUAGACGGCGAGGUAAGCCUGAAGUGGAAGCCCGCGGCCCAACCGCGGAACCGCUUUGGGAACUGUUUUGCUGGAGUAUGGGAGGGGUAAGCGGAAUUCCUGGUGUAGCGGUGAAAUGCGUAGAUAUCAGGAGGAACACCGGUGGCGAAGGCGGCUUACUGGACCAUAACUGACGUUGAGGCUCGAAAGCGUGGGGAGCGAACAGG
rnacentral:rRNA from 1 species